rnacentral:rRNA from 1 species
AGCGAACGUUGGCGGCGCGCUUAACACAUGCAAGUCGAACGCGAAAGAUCCUCGGAUCGAGUAGAGCGGCGCACGGGUGAGUAACACGUGACUAACCUACCUUUUGGCCCGGGAUAACAUGCCGAAAGGCGUGCUAAUACCGGAUGAGACCACGGCCCCUGUGGGGGCUGCGAGAAAAGCAGGGGAGCGAAAGCGCCUUGCACCAGAAGAUGGGGUCGCGGCCUAUCAGCUAGUUGGCGGGGUAACGGCCCACCAAGGCGAUGACGGGUAGCUGGUCUGAGAGGAUGAUCAGCCACACUGGAACUGAGACACGGUCCAGACUCCUACGGAGGCAGCAGUGGGGAAUUUUGGACAAUGGGCGAAAGCCUGAUCCAGCGACGCCGCGUGUGCGAUGAAGGCC